AGAAUCAACGCUGGCGGCGUGCCUAACACAUGCAAGUCGAACGAGAAAGUGGAGCAAUCCAUGAGUAAAGUGGCGCACGGGUGAGUAACACGUGACUAACCUACCUUUUAGUGGGGGGAUAACCUAGGGAAACCUGGGCUAAUACCGCAUAAUACCUACGGGUCAAAGCAGCAAUGCGCUGAAAGAGGGGGUCGCGGUCGAUUAGUUAGUUGGCAGGGUAAUGGCCUACCAAGACUGUGAUCGAUAUCCGGCCUGAGAGGGCGCACGGACACACUGGAACUGAAACACGGUCCAGACUCCUACGGGAGGCAGCAGUGGGGAAUUUUGCGCAAUGGGGGAAACCCUGACGCAGCAACGCCGCGUGGAGGAUGAAGUCCCUUGGGACGUAAACUCCUUUCGAUCGGGACGAUAAUGACGGUACCGGAAGAAGAGCCCGGCUAACUUCGUGUCAGCAGCCGC
rnacentral:rRNA from 1 species